UACUGGGCCACCAGGGAAGCCCCCAUCCUGUUUUUUUUUAAACCCAGAAUUGUGAGCUAUUAGCUGUGGGACUGUUCACAGGUCUCCCAGCUGCAGCGUCACCUGGGGAAAUGAGUAACUUGGAUGUUUGGACAGAAAACACACACUUGUCUUCUUGCCAGGAUCACAGAGUCCUCACUGCCUGAGAUCUGGGCCAAAGCUCACGCAUCUCUGCUUCACUCCUCCUGGAUCCCACCCACGUUCAAGGCCAAGGUUGAUCUCCCCCUCUUUUUUUCCUCCACUCCUUCCUGGCCAUCUGCUUUCCGUCUCUAACCUCUGUGUGUCUGUUAGAACUCCUUCAGCUAAAAGCUCUGGAAUCAAAGGAAGAGCUGGAGGAACCCGGGGAAGCCCUGGGACCUCAGGGAAGGCAGGUGUGGCCUUGACGCUGCCCUCUCUCAGCCCCUUAUCACUUUCUCUGGCUCCUUCAAGUGGCAGAAGUUGUGGCUCAACACCAAAGAGAGGAGGGAGGGUCUGACCUUCUAACUUCCACAGAAACAUCCUAUGGAUGGGCUUCAGGCCCCCAGCAGGGGCACAGACCCACUCCUGCACUCACCUCUGGGGAAGAAGAGGGAUGCUAUGACUGGUCACUCUCUUCACUCACCUCCUUACUCUCAUCUGCCUAUAACCCAGGCUCCACGGAAUAAUAUUUGGAAAAUGGAAAUCGAUCUUAUCACCUCCCUACUUAAGAUCCUCCAAUCACUUCCCAUUCCACUUAGAAGAGAAUCCAGGAGUUUGGUCCUGGCCUAGAAGACCACAGGAUCUGUGACGUCUCCACCUCCAUCUCCUACUUUCUCCCCUCCUACAGUUCAGCUACACUGGCACCUUCUUGCUCAUCCUCAGAUACAACAAACUCCUACCUGCCCCAGGGCCCUGGUACUUGCUCUGUCUGGAGUGCUCUCCCCCUGGAGCCUCCCAUGGCUGGCUCCUUCCCUGCUAACAUGUCACGACCCCAGAGAGGCCUUCCCUAAUCACCUGUGUUCCUCCAUCACCCUCAAUCCCCUUACCUUGCUUUAUUUUCAUCACAGCACAGAUUGCCAUCUGCAUCUCUCACAAUUAUUUAUCUACUUGUUUACAGCUGUCUCCUCCGACCAGAACAUCCGCUUUAGAGCCCAGGGACCUGUUCUCCUUGUUCAUGGGUGUGACCCAGCCCAGCACCUGGCACAUAACUAGUGCUCAACAAAUGCUUACUGUAAACAAUGAAUCCAGACCUGGAGGUGAGGCGGCUUAGGAAGGCUGGGCCAUGGAAGUGGCACACCCACUGGCAGGCAGCUGGAUCCAGGAGAUAAGCGGGCCUAAGGCUUCGACAGGGCAUGAAAUGAUGAUCGGCUUACACAGCUCCAGAGUUAAAGCAGAGAAGGUGGGGACACAGAUUUCUGAGGUCUUCAAUGAAACAGCUGAAGAUCAUUGUCCUAGCUUUUUGAUGAAGUGGAAAGAAUUUGGAAUGUGAAUCAGAGCAACUGGGCUUGAUCCCAGAGCCCUUCUUCUGUCCUUUGUUGCACAUGCACUUGCUGAAGCCCUUGGUGGUCGAGGCAUCCGGGAUGCCCAGGUGGGCGGCACCACUUUCAGUCGGGGACUGUGACUUGGGUCCAGGUUUUUAGCCUCCCUCAGCCUCCCUCUCCCCUUCUGUAAAUAGGCAAUGACACAGACCCCUCUCAGGGAGAAUGGGGAAAUGUAAGAAGUGGAAACAGCACAUGGGGCACUUACGUGGUCAAAAUAAAUCUUGCAGAGUCAGUG